AUGUUUCCAACAGAUGAAGAACCUAAAAAGCUCGGAUGGUCCCGUUCCUUCUCCCAGCAACAACAAAGUCUCAGAGAGUUUCACACAAACAUGUUUCAUUUAUUUUGCACCAGAGGAAGUGUUUCCUUCACAGACGGUGAUCGUUCAUUCACUCCUUCACGAGCUUUGAGGUUCAGCUCUCUGUCAAAGCAGCGCUCCUCACAUGUUCUGUCCUUUGGGUCGCAGACGUCUGUGGAGCACAUGAAGUGGAUCUGCAGACAGACGGAGGGUCAGUCGUCAGUGUUUCUGCGUCAGACAAGCAGACGGUCGGGCGAGCAGACGGUCGGGCGAGCAGGCGGCGGGCGAGAGCGGUCGGCGGCGAGCAGGCGGUCGGGCGAGCAGGCGGCCGGGCGAGCAGGCGGCCGGGCGAGCAGACGGUCCGGCGAGCAGACGGUCCGGCGAGCAGACGGUCCGGCGAGCAGACGGUCCGGCGAGGAGACGGUCCGGCGAGCAGACGGUCCGGCGAGCAGACGGUCCAACGAGCAGACGGUCGAACGAGCAGACGGUCCAGCGAGAAGACGGUCGGGCGAGCAGGCGGUCGGGCGAGCAGACGGUCGGGCGAGCAGACGGCCGGGCGAGCAGGCGGCCGGGCGUGCAGGCGGCCGGGCGUGCAGGCGGCCGGGCGUGCAGGCGGUCCGGCGAGCAGGCGGUCGAGCGAGCAGGCGGUCCGGCGAGCAGGCGGUCGAGCGAGCAGGCGGUCGGGCGAGCAGGCGGUCGGGCGAGCAGGCGGUCGAACCAGCAGGCGGUCGAACCAGCAGGCGGUCGAACCAGCAGGCGGUCGGGCGAGCAGGCGGUCGGGCGAGCAGGCGGUCGAGCGAGCAGGCGGUCGGGCGAGCAGGCGGUCGGGCGAGCAGGCGGUCGGGCGAGCAGGGGGUCGGGCGAGCAGGGGGUCGGGCGAGCAGACGGUCCGGCGAGCAGACGGUCGAACCAGCAGGCGGUCGGGCGAGCAGGGGGUCGGGCGAGCAGGCGGUCGGGCGAGCAGGCGGUCCGGCGAGCAGACGGUAA
rnacentral:lncRNA from 1 species